CCCAAACCGUACGGCCUGACCCCUAGCGACAGGCAGGAGCCUAGCUUCAGACGAUUCCUCUCAGGCUUAUGGAAUCAUUCUUAGUCUUUACUUCGUAGUCUGUGGCGAACUGGCGAAGACGACAACAAACGACAGUUCCACUUCCACAAGCUGAGAAUUGAAAAAUCAAGUCCUAAAUUGUUCUUCGUUUGUCCACAACCUGCAUUAAACAUGGAUUUUCUUAAGGCUGAAAUGGAACGUAAGAGAAAAAUGUUACAAGAGAAAGACAUAAUGCUGUCUACUAAAAAGUACUUCCGACGAGGAGAUCUAGUUGCCAAAGAAAAAGAGGAAUACAUAAAAAAACAUGCAAAUUCAUUUGCAGUAAAGUUGUCAGAUGGGCAAGGACCUAGUAGGAUAGCUGAUAAUGAAGGUGGAGUUUUAGAGGAAGAUGGUGUAACAGUUGCAGUUCUGCCCAGAAAAGAAGUCAUUCGUAGAUUGCGUGAUAGAAAUGAACCCAUUGCCCUGUUUGGUGAAUCAGACAUUGAGGCCUUUAGAAGACUUCGAAAAUUGGAAAUUUCAGAACCUGAAAUCAAUAGAGGUCUUAGAAAUGAUUUUCAAGAAGCAAUGGAAAGGGUUGAUGAGGCAUAUCUAAAUGAUAUACUUUCCACUAAGAAAGAUGAAGAUGAUCAACAAUCAGAUGAUGGUUCCAGCAAGCCCAAGGCUGGUGAUGUCAAAGUCAUUGCAGAAUCUAUCAGCUAUGAAGAAAUUUUAGAAUUGUCUAAAGAUUUAGGAAAAGGCAAUGGUGACCUAGAUUUGAAGAUCAUAAGCCAACUCUUAAAAUUACUGCUUCAAAUUUGGGGACAAAAACUUAAUAGUCGUCCGGAAGCCGAAAAAAGAAGCGUUAAAGGAAAACGAGCUUCUGCAACAUAUGGUCAAACACAGCAGUAUCUUAAACCUCUGUUCAAGAAGCUACGAAAUAAGAGCAUUCAGGAUGAUAUUCUUGACAGUUUGACGAUUAUUGUGGGCCACUUGCUUGAUAGAAAUUAUGUCAUCGCGAAUGAUGCAUACCUGCAAAUGGCAAUAGGCAAUGCUCCAUGGCCUAUCGGUGUUACCAUGGUCGGUAUUCACGCACGUACGGGACGAGAGAAGAUUUUUUCCAAACAUGUGGCACAUGUGCUGAACGAUGAAACGCAACGCAAGUAUAUUCAAGGCUUAAAAAGACUGAUGACAAAGUGCCAGUACUUCUUUCCUACUGAUCCUUCCCGCUGUGUGGAAUAUGGAGCAACGGAGCUUGAGUUUUAAGCCGUACUGACCCUGAAGAUCUCGUACGCAGCCUAUAACUGCAUUGUUCCCUUAAAGAACUUCAAUGGGAUGUUUUAGAAUUUCCAUUCUUUUUCAAGAUCUGACAAAAGAGAAGAAAAUGAUUCUCGGUUCGUCAUGCAUAAGCGUUUAUUCACGCGAUUAGGACUACAGAAAGUUAUUUUUCUAAGUCAAGUGUGAGAAUAGAUAACUAUCCUGUAGCUCUGUAAGCCUAUGUUCAUUAAACACUGUUCAUGAAAGUCAA